CUUGUGCCAGCAGCCGCGGUAAUACAGAGGGUGCAAGCGUUAAUCGGAAUUACUGGGCGUAAAGCGCGCGUAGGUGGUUCGUUAAGUUGGAUGUGAAAUCCCCGGGCUCAACCUGGGGACUGCAUUCAAAACUGACGAGCUAGAGUAUGGUAGAGGGUGGUGGAUUUCCUGUGUAGCGGUGAAAUGCGUAGAUAUAGGAAGGAACACCAGUGGCGAAGGCGACCACCUGGACUGAUACUGACACUGAGGUGCGAAAGCGUGGGGAGCAAACAGGAU
rnacentral:rRNA from 1 species